UACGUAGGGAGCAAGCGUUGUCCGGAUUUACUGGGUGUAAAGGGUGCGUAGGCGGCCCUGCAAGUCAGGUGUGAAAACCAUCGGCUCAACUGAUGGACUGCAUUUGAAACUGUGGGGCUUGAGUGGAGUAGAGGCAGACGGAAUUCCCGGUGUAGCGGUGAAAUGCGUAGAGAUCGGGAGGAACACCAGUGGCGAAGGCGGUCUGCUGGGCUUUAACUGACGCUGAGGCACGAAAGCAUGGGUAGCAAACAGG
rnacentral:rRNA from 1 species